ACAUGCAAGUCGAACGGCAGCAUAGGUGCUUGCACCUGAUGGCGAGUGGCGAACGGGUGAGUAAUGCAUCGGAACGUGCCCAAUCGUGGGGGAUAACGCAGCGAAAGCUGUGCUAAUACCGCAUACGAUCUACGGAUGAAAGCGGGGGACCUUCGGGCCUCGCGCGAUUGGAGCGGCCGAUGUUAGAUUAGGUAGUUGGUGGGGUAAAGGCUCACCAACCGACGAUCUAUAGCUGGUCUGAGAGGACGACCAGCCACACUGGAACUGAGACACGGUCCAGACUCCUACGGGAGGCAGCAGUGGGGAAUUUUGGACAAUGGGCGAAAGCCUGAUCCAGCAAUACCGCGUGCAGGAAGAAGGCCUUCGGGUUGUAAACUGCUUUUGUACGGAACGAAAAGGUCUGCCUUAAUACGGUGGGCUCAUGACGGUACCGUAAGAAUAAGCACCGGCUAACUACGUGCCAGCAGCCGCGGAAUACGUAGGGUGCGAGCGUUAAUCGGAAUUACUGGGCGUAAAGCGUGCGCAGGCGGCUUUGUAAGACAGACGUGAAAUCCCCGGGCUCAACCUGGGAAUUGCGUUUGUGACUGCAAGGCUAGAGUACGGUAGAAGGGGGUAGAAUUCCGCGUGUAGCAGUGAAAUGCGUAGAUAUGCGGAGGAACACCGAUGGCGAAAGGCAGCCCCCUGGACCUGUACUGACGCUCAUGCACGA
rnacentral:rRNA from 1 species